AGGUCAUUCUGUGGACAAUUUCUCAGCAAACCUUUGUAUCUCUCCCAUACUUCAUAAAGUGACUCGCCUACUUCUUGUUCAAAAUUUGCGAUUGCUUUCUUUAAUUU